UGGGGAAUAUUGCGCAAUGGGCGAAAGCCUGACGCAGCGACGCCGCGUGAGGGAAGAAGGUUUUCGGAUCGUAAACCUCUGUCAGAAGGGAAGAAACCGCACUGUGCUAAUCAGCAGUGCCUUGACGGUACCUUCAAAGGAAGCACCGGCUAACUCCGUGCCAGCAGCCGCGGUAAUACGGAGGGUGCAAGCGUUAAUCGGAAUUACUGGGCGUAAAGCGCACGUAGGCUGCUUUGUAAGUCAGGGGUGAAAUCCAACGGCUUAACCGUGGAACUGCCUUUGAUACUGCUUAGCUUGAAUCCGGGAGAGGGUGGCGGAAUUCCAGGUGUAGGAGUGAAAUCCGUAGAUAUCUGGAGGAACAUCAGUGGCGAAGGCGGCCACCUGGACCGGUAUUGACGCUGAGGUGCGAAAGCGUGGGGAGCAAACAGG
rnacentral:rRNA from 1 species